GCGCGAAAACUUUACAAUGCUGGCAACAGCGAUAAGGGAACCUCGAGUGCCAGGUUACAAAUCUGGCUGUCGAGAUGCCUAAAAAGCAUUUCAUAGCAAGGGCAAGGCAAGACCGGUGCCAGCCGCCGCGGUAACACCGGCGGCUCGAGUGGUAACCGUUAUUAUUGGGUCUAAAGGGUCUGUAGCCGGCCGGAUAAGUCUCUUGAGAAAUCUGGCAGCUUAACUGUCAGGCUUUCAGGAGAUACUGUCUGGCUCGAGGCCGGGAGAGGUGAGAGGUACUUCAGGGGUAGGGGUGAAAUCUUGUAAUCCUUGAAGGACCACCAGUGGCGAAGGCGGCUCACCAGAACGGACCUGACGGCAAGGGACGAAAGCUAGGGGCACGAACCG
rnacentral:rRNA from 1 species